rnacentral:rRNA from 1 species
CCGGAUUUAUUGGGUUUAAAGGGUGCGUAGGCGGGACUGUAAGUCAGGGGUGAAAUACUGCAGCUUAACUGUAGCAUUGCCUUUGAAACUGCCGUUCUUGAGUACAGUUGAGGUAGGCGGAAUGUGGUGUGUAGCGGUGAAAUGCAUAGAUAUACCACAGAACACCGAUUGCGAAGGCAGCUUACUAAGCUGUUACUGACGCUGAGGCACGAAAGCGUGGGGAUCAAACAGGAUUAGAUACCCUGGUAGUCCACGCUGUAAACGAUGAUUACUGGUUGUUAGCGAUAUAUAGCUAGUGACUGAGCGAAAGCAUUAAGUAAUCCACCUGGGGAGUACGUCGGCAACGAUGAAACUCAAAGGAAUUGACGGGGGCCCGCACAAGCGGAGGAACAUGUGGUUUAAUUCGAUGAUACGCGAGGAACCUUACC